GACGAACGCUGGCGGCGUGCCUAAUACAUGCAAGUCGAGCGAAGUUUUUCUGGUGCUUGCACCGGAAAAACUUAGCGGCGAACGGGUGAGUAACACGUAAAGAACCUGCCUCAUAGACUGGGACAACUAUUGGAAACGAUAGCUAAUACCGGAUAACAGCAUUAACUGCAUGGUUGAUGUUUAAAAGAUGGUUUUGCUAACACUAUGAGAUGGCUUUGCGGUGCAUUAGCUAGUUGGUGGGGUAAAGGCCUACCAAGGCGACGAUGCAUAGCCGACCUGAGAGGGUGAUCGGCCACACUGGGACUGAGACACGGCCCAGACUCCUACGGGAGGCAGCAGUAGGGAAUCUUCCGCAAUGGGCGAAAGCCUGACGGAGCAACGCCGCGUGAGUGAAGAAGGAUUUCGGUUCGUAAAGCUCUGUUGUUAGGGAAGAAUGAUUGUGUAGUAACUAUACACAGUAGAGACGGUACCUAACCAGAAAGCCACGGCUAACUACGUG
rnacentral:rRNA from 1 species